rnacentral:rRNA from 1 species
AACGAACGCUGGCGGCAUGCCUAACACAUGCAAGUCGAACGAGACCUUCGGGUCUAGUGGCGCACGGGUGCGUAACGCGUGGGAAUCUGCCCUUGGGUUCGGAAUAACAGUUAGAAAUGACUGCUAAUACCGGAUAAUGUCUUCGGACCAAAGAUUUAUCGCCCAGGGAUGAGCCCCGCGUAGGAUUAGCUAGUUGGUGAGGUAAAGGCUCACCAAGGCGACGAUCCUUAGCUGGUCUGAGAGGAUGAUCAGCCACACUGGGACUGAGACACGGCCCAGACUCCUACGGGAGGCAGCAGUGGGAAUAUUGGACGAUGGGCGAAAGCCUGAUCCAGCAAUGCCGCGUGAGUGAUGAAGGCCUUAGGGUUGUAAAGCUCUUUUACCCGGGAUGAUAAUGACAGUACCGGGAGAAUAAGCCCCGGCUAACUCCGUGCCCAGCAGCCGCGGU